AACUCCGCCGAAGCACGGGGCCGCGCGGGACGGGGGCACCCACGCAGAGCUCGCAGGGAGCUCCGCAGGGAGCACGGCAUUAAGCCAGGCGGGGCAUCGCAUAGCCGCUCCCUCGCAGAAGUCCCCAAGGAUUUUGUUUUUAAAGGCAUCGAUCGGGAGAUGCGGGCAGAAAUUGCUGCUGCUGCUGCUGCUGCUGGGGCCGGGAGCUGUGCACCUCCGGAGCGCACCGGGAGCGGCUGAACUUUGGUGCUGGGGAAGAUCCAUUUCUCCUCCGUAAACACUUUGGGGACGACCACAGAGCAUCACCGCACACCCAGCGCUGCAGCACCCGGUGCCGGAGAGACACUGGGGGGGUUCCUCUCUCUCCAAGGACGGAACACCUGUGUAAGGAGCUGGGGAAGGGCAAUUCGUCUUUCUUUUCCAGAUGACUGAAAAUACCGACAGGACCGUGGCUCUCUGCUUUCCAUCAGCAAGUGGCACUAGGGAGAGGCGGCUGAGGAAUGGAAAUGAUGUUGCUCCAAUUCAUCCCAGCAUCUACUUUUUCCCAAGGGACUCCAUGCCCAUAGGGGUUUGCUGCAUGCCUGUCCAGCAGUGAGGACGGCGGUACCACGGAUGCAUCCUGACCAGAUCAUGUAAGAAUUUGAUACCAAGAAACCCACCCCAGUGAGACUUUCUCUGACUGAAGUAUAUGGUUCGGUGUAAGCGCAGCAAUUUUUGCCUGUUUUUCUCCCUUUUACAUCUCUUGGGCUUGGAGAUCUCUGUCCUCAUUGCAACUAUGCUCAUUUGCAACAUCAGUGCCAUCAAAGAUUGGAGCACUUUCCUCUCCCAGAUCCUCCCCAGCGUGAACAAGACCCUGAACUUGGUACAGCAAGUGGAGGCCACCACCAGCUCGGUGGUGAGCGUCCUGCAGGAGCCCGAGCAGGACAGCUACCUGGCCAACAGCCAGCCCAUGAACUCCAGCAACUUCACGGCUGGCCUAGACCACUUGUUUCAGUACUCUUACUCCGACAAUGACCAGCUGUACAAGGAGUACAAACCCCCUCCUCGCGAUGCCAUCCCUCUGCCCAAGGCUGUCCUCUACCUCCUCAUGGCAGCCCUGGUGGUGGUGGCAGUGGCGUACGCCAUCGUUGGGCACCUCAUCAAAGACCUCAUUCAUGACUUUAUAGAUUGGAUCUUCGGCCCCAACCCAGAUGACAACAGCAACAAAAGCGACGUCAACUGCAUCACCAACAGCGUGAAUGAGAUGAGCGAGAUGCCCGAGGUGCCGCGCCACCGUGACCGCCAGCCCCAGGACGUGGUCAUCGCCAUCAGCGAGACCUGCCACCUGCCACAGCAAACGUGAGCAGUGUGACAGGAUGGGCACGACAGGGAAGGACCAGGAGAAGUCUCCUUGUUCGCCUCUACCGCCGACAGAGGAUUGUCUGCUGCUGAGCAACCAGCGCUGCAGGGAUGGGGGCAAAGGAAAGGGGCUGCGGGAUGGGCAGAGCCCUCCGGGCUCCAAAGACAUUGCCAGGGCCACGGGCUCGUCAGUCCUGCGGGUCCAUCGGCUUCCUUUUUUUUCCCCGUGAAUAGCAAAAAAGCAAAUGGAGAAAUACAGUGAGCAGAGGCGAGGUG
rnacentral:lncRNA from 7 species